rnacentral:sRNA from 1 species
UCCAUGAUUCACAAAAUCGCAAGCAAGAC